UACGUAGGGGGCGAGCGUUGUCCGGAAUUAUUGGGCGUAAAGAGCGUGUAGGCGGUUUUGUAAGUCUGCUGUGAAAUCCUGGGGCUCAACCCCGGACGUGCAGCGGAUACUGCCGGUCUAGAGGGUGGUAGAGGCGAGUGGAAUUCCGAGUGCAGCGGUGAAAUGCGCAGAUAUUCGGAGGAACACCAGUGGCGAAGGCGGCUCGCUGGGCCACUCCUGACGCUGAGGCGCGAAAGCGUGGGGAGCGAACAGG
rnacentral:rRNA from 1 species